CUAAAACAUGGCGAACUUUUCUAACGAAUCCCAAUCGAUCGUCUGGCAGACGUUAUGAAAGGAGAGUAUUAGAGAGUAUUGGACAAAGUAUCUCUGUCCAAAAACGUGAAGGAGAACUCUAAGUGAUCGAUAGAGAGGAAAGCAAUCUUCAGCUGCUCGUUCAUUUUCUUCAAACGUUCACUUUAGUAUGGCGGCCGUUUCUUUGUCGAAUUGCUGGACACUAAAUUUAUAUGAAUGCUACUCCCAGUUCUAGGGAGCCAAUGAAAAUCAAGGAACAGCAGCUUGACCUUUACAUUGAGAGAAUAAUAGAAGCAGCUGCAUCAAGCUUGGGGGACGUUGUUGUAAGGGUAUCAAGUAGCACUAAACAGUCAGAGAGAGAUUUUGGUAAUAGUAGUGCAUCAUCUUGAAAUGUGUGUGGAAACUUGACAUCAUCCUAUAUUGAAGUGACACCAAGUGAGUUAGUCUUACUGCAGUCUGUGAGCCUGAGGGAGGAACUCCAGUCCAUGCCCCCAGUCAAGAAGUCUUUGAGCCUGGAGGAGGAACUCCAAUUCCAGCUCAGAAAUAUGAGGCCUCCCCAGCAAUCGAUGCCCCCAGUCAAGAAGUGCCUGUUCAGGAAAGCUCUGACCCCCCUGUUGAUCACCUGAGCCUGGUAUUUGAAAUCCUGAUUGUUCAAAUGGCCACGAAAGUCUUCAGCGGUUAGGCCAACAACAGGGGACAUUGAGAAAGGUAAAUUGUAAUACUCACAGGUUGAAGUACAUCGCAUUGCUUUGGAGCAAUCUCAUCUUACUUGUGAUGAAUAUGAUGUCAGCUCUUUCUUCACAAAAAGUGAAUGUAGAAGAGUACAUCAAGAAAAAUCUUGUCACUGACAAAUUCACAGUUGUUAUCCAUGGAGAGGAUGAUGGUGCAAACCUUUGUUUGAUUCAAUUGGUAAAAAAAUUCUACAAACUAUUAAAGAAUAGGUUCUUUGAAGGAUUGAACUUUUGCAUCAUUUUAAAGGCCAAAUUCACCCUGAAAGCUGUUUUCAAGCUUGCCAAACCAUUCAUCCUGAACAAUGUGAAGUGAAAGAUUUCUAUGGUAAAUGAUGUUGGUGAACUUGUUUUGUUCCACAGAAGCACUGAAAGCAAGAGCACUGAAGAUGCAUGGUAGGGGAUCUUUGAGGAUUUUCAAAUUGUAGGGGCUUUUUUAGGAUUUUCAAAUUUAAUAGUAUCUUCAAGAGAAUAAGUCAUGACUAAGUUUUAGUCCUUUUAACAUGGAGGAGUGCAUAAUGUUACUGCCAUCAAGAUCAAUUGUGUCUCCUAGUGUUACAUCAAAAACUGGCUGCAAAGAACAUUGCAUGCUUUUUUUUUGCAGAGAUCCUUGAGGAUCUCCUUAUGAAGAGAAGCAUAACAACAGCUCUCUCUGUAGUAUUCAUCAUUUUAUUUAGUACUGAAUAUGACAGCAACCAAUGACUGUGCAUCAUGCAGACUGUUACAUAGCUAAUCAUUAUAACAAGCUGGGCAUAUUUUUUUUCAUUUUUGUAAACUGAAAUAUAUAUUUACUUAUUAUUUGUAAAAAAAGAGGUGAUUAUCACCAAAGCAGACUGUUAAACAUGCUUACAGCCAGAGUUACGGAUAAGAACUUUCAUAAGAAGUUGGGCAUAUAUAUCUCUCAAUUUUUGUAAACGUAACAUAAUCAUAAAGGGUCCAAUUAAAAUGCAAGAUAAUUACUUCAAAUUUUGCCAGACUUCUUUCAAAGAUGUAUAUUCUCUGACCUUGAGGAAAUCUUUAUAUCCCUGACUUUUCCCAGAACUUGCAGCAACCAUGAACCAUGCUUCUGGUAUAAAACUAUUGGUGGAAUUAGUUCCCACCAACCCCAAGUAUUUCCCUGUGUUAUUCCCUGUAUGUACACACAAGAACAUGUGAAACACCUUCUGCAGUCGCCAUCAAAUAAAACCAGCAGUGUUUUCAAAUCAAAUGUGCACCAGGGAAAUCCAAAAUGGUGGACGAAGUUUAAGAAGAAGAUCUGCAAAAUAAGGCGUUUCGGUGUCAUUAGCCUCUGAUAUCCAUCGUGUUUUAUUUUGUUUGUGUCUCCAAGAUGAAGACAAGAUUUACCACCGUUGAUCCUUGCGCAGUGAUCACAGAGCUGUUUCAUUCACUAGUUUGUCAAAUCUUUUUAGCUUUAAGACAAAAAUGCAAGAGUUUUUACUUAAAUAAACACUGUAUUGGCAAAGCUGCACAUUCACAGCACUUAUUAUUUUUUAAAUACUGUUGUAAGUAAGGUGGCUCUACUCCAUAAGCCCAGUGGCUUCCUGAUAUGCUUGACGAAUGAGGAAAGUUUUCUUACAGGUUUGAGUGAAGGUAAGUCCUGAUCCUUACUUCUUUUUAAAACAGCUAGAUAGUGACUAAACAUAUCUGACACCACUUGACCUUGCUCAUCGAGCUUAGGGAACUAAAAUACUCAUGCUGAAAUUUUGCUUUGCAUUCCACUUUGAGCUCUUAAUUCAUCCAGCUCAAAAUAAUAUUCUCAUCAUAAUUAAUGGAAAGUAAUGGCAUAGCAGUUAAGAGCUGGAUUCAAAUGUACAUCAAGUUGGACUCAACUUCUUAAUUAAAGUCAA